AUUGAACGCUGGCGGCAUGCCUUACACAUGCAAGUCGAACGGUAACGCGGGGCAACCUGGCGACGAGUGGCGAACGGGUGAGUAAUACAUCGGAACGUGCCCAGUCGUGGGGGAUAACGUAGCGAAAGCUACGCUAAUACCGCAUACGAACUCUGGUUGAAAGCGGGGGAUCGCAAGACCUCGCGCGAUUGGAGCGGCCGAUGGCAGAUUAGGUAGUUGGUGGGGUAAAGGCCUACCAAGCCGACGAUCUGUAGCUGGUCUGAGAGGACGACCAGCCACACUGGGACUGAGACACGGCCCAGACUCCUACGGGAGGCAGCAGUGGGGAAUUUUGGACAAUGGGGGCAACCCUGAUCCAGCCAUGCCGCGUGAGUGAAGAAGGCCUUCGGGUUGUAAAGCUCUUUCGCGAGGGAAGAAAACGUGCAGGCUAAUACCCUGUAUGGAUGACGGUACCUUGAUAAGAAGCACCGGCUAACUACGUGCCAGCCGCCGCGGUAAAAC
rnacentral:rRNA from 1 species